UGCAGCACGAUGUGCCAUCGCAUCACGGUGCCAUCGCUGUCUGUUAAUGGCAAAAAGUUAACACUGCUACUUUGGGCUCCUACACGUCCGUCUGGCCAGAAGUGCUCAUUACUGCAUUAGGAAGAGGCAAAGGCGGCUUGCGACAGACGGCAUAGCUUCGCUCUGCCAGAGGAACGUGGGCUUUCGGUCCUGCUGGGAGCUGCGAGAGCUGAGGGGCUGAACCCGCGCGGAGCCGCGGCUCCGGCACUGCCCGACGGCGCUCUCCGGCCGCGCCGCCACAGGAACCGUCCGGCAGGGAUGAGCGCGAUUCCCGCGGGCUGCGAGGGCCCCAGCAGGAGCCCCGGCAGCGGCCCCCGCCCCGCUCGCCCCUUACCAUCUGAGCCACCUUCAGCAUGCCGGCGCAGGAGCGGAAAUAGCCGCCGUCCAUGAGCUCCGCGUCCGAGCCCGCCGAGGAGGAGGCGACGGUGACGGGCGGCGGGGCCGCGGGUCCCCCGCUGCUGACCCCGUUCCCAUUUGGAAGCAUGCAUGGCUACAGGUUUCUAUAAGCCCUGUGGAGGAAGGUUCCAGUAACUUCUUCACUUCCUAUUUAGAAAUACGGGGGUUUUACCUGCUGGUUCAGCUUCUUUAGUUCUUUAUUUCUUUUGAAAGUGUGUGUGUGACUGGGGCCCUGCUGAUCUGAGUUCAGGGCAGUGAAACAGAAAUAACUUUAAAUUAAUACAAGUGGAAUAACAGACAUAUUUUCUACCCAGUAAUACAGACGUCUUCUAUGGAGCACUGGGACAAAGUCAACCUAACUCUACUGUAUUUGGAAUUUCUAUUACAGUUCUCAUGCUAUUUACUGUAUUUGGAAUUUCUAUUAUAGUUCUCAUGCUAUUUACUUUGUCUUGUUAAGUGCAUUGUGUAUGAUGAUGAAAAAAGGUACUGACAACUCCUUAAUAAAUGGAAAUUAAUGGCCAUAAGUUGA